CCUACGGGGGGCAGCAGUGAGGAAUAUUGGUCAAUGGGCGAGAGCCUGAACCAGCCAAGUCGCGUGAGGGAGUACUGCCCUAUGGGUUGUAAACCUCUUUUGUCGGGGAGCAAAAGCCGGACGUGUCCGGCUGUGAGAGUACCCGAAGAAAAAGCAUCGGCUAACUCCGUGCCAGCAGCCGCGGUAAUACGGAGGAUGCGAGCGUUAUCCGGAUUUAUUGGGUUUAAAGGGUGCGCAGGCGGAUUGUUAAGUCAGCGGUAAAAUCGUGGGGCUCAACCCCAUCCAGCCGUUGAAACUGGGGAUCUAGAGUGUGCGAGAGGUAUGCGGAAUGCGUGGUGUAGCGGUGAAAUGCAUAGAUAUCACGCAGAACCCCGAUUGCGAAGGCAGCAUACCGGUGCACAACUGACGCUCAGGCACGAAAGCGUGGGUAUCGAACAGGAUUAGAUACCCCAGUAGUC
rnacentral:rRNA from 1 species